rnacentral:rRNA from 1 species
CCUACGGGUGGCAGCAGUGAGGAAUAUUGGUCAAUGGGCGCGAGCCUGAACCAGCCAAGUCGCGUGAGGGAUGACGGUCCUACGGAUUGUAAACCUCUUUUGCCGGGGAGCAAGCGUGCGUUCGUGAACGCGCGUCGAGAGUACCCGGCGAAAAAGCAUCGGCUAACUCCGUGCCAGCAGCCGCGGUAAUACGGAGGAUGGGAGCGUUAUCCGGCUUUACUGGGUGUAAGGGGCGAGUAGGCGGGAUUGCAAGUCAGAGGUGAAAACUAUGGGCUCAACCGAUAGAGUGCAUUUGAAACUGCAGUUCUUGAGUGAUGGAGAGGCAGGCGGGAUUCCCGGUGUAGCGGUGGAAUGCGUAGAUAUCGGGAGGAACACCAGUGGCGAAGGCGGCCUGCUGGACAUUAACUGACGCUGAGGCGCGAAAGCGUGGGGAGCAAACAGGAUUAGAUACCCCUGUAGUC